UCGCCGAAAGAUUGGCCCGCGUCUGAUUAGCUAGUUGGUGAGGUAAUGGCUCACCAAGGCGACGAUCAGUAGCUGGUCUGAGAGGAUGAUCAGCCACAUUGGGACUGAGACACGGCCCAA
rnacentral:rRNA from 1 species